CCGCCCCUGACCUCGGACGCAGGGUAGCUCCUCUCGGCUGUUCCUGCGCCAUCACAGCCUGGCACCCUAGACCGCUGCCCCUGACCUCGGACGUCGGGUAGCACCUCUUGGCCGCGCUUCGUGCGCCGGCUCGCAGAUAGUAACUUCAGUGAGAUGGUCCUAUAUAUGGAAGGUGGGCUUCACCUAUGGGAAAGAAGCAGGCAGCACAUUCACUGAGUACUGUGUGAGAAAGAGACCUCUGGGUACCCACCUUUCCAUGAGCAAGAAGCAGACUGAAAAAUCAGCAUCAAAGAGGAACUAUUUCUCGUGGAAAAGGAAAAAAAGUUCUCAGAGAGCAGAGCCAACAGCCAAGAACAAUGGAUUAGGGAAAAGGUGAACCCAGUAGAAAAUUCACAAACAGGAUCAAUUCAAAUGCCAGGACAUGGAAGCAACCCAAACGUCCAUCAACAGAGGAAUGAAUAAAGAAGGUGUGGUCCAUGUAUACAGUAGGAUAUUACUCAGCCAUAAAAAGGAAUGAAAUUAUACCCUUUGCAGAGACGUGGAUGGACCUAGAGAUGGUCAUACAGAGUGAAGUAAGUCAGAAAGAGAAAAACAAAUACUAUGUAUUAAUGCAUGUAUGUGAAAUCCAGAAAAAAUGGUACAGAUGAACCUAUUUGUAAAGCAGAAAUAAAGACAGACCUAGUG
ensembl:lncRNA